rnacentral:rRNA from 1 species
UACGUAGGGUGCAAGCGUUUGUCCGGAAUUAUUGGGCGUAAAGAGCUCGUAGGCGGUUCAGUAAGUCGGGUGUGAAAUCUCCGUGCUCAACACGGAGCGGCCACCUGAUACUGCUGUGACUCGAGUCCGGUAGGGGGAGUGUGGAAUUCCCGGUGUAGCGGUGAAAUGCGCAGAUAUCGGGAGGAACACCAGUAGCGAAGGCGGCACUCUGGGCCGUGACUGACGCUGAGGAGCGAAAGCGUGGGUAGCAAACAGG